rnacentral:tRNA from 1 species
GCCUUUGGUGUGUAUCGGUAGCACACCCGGCGCACAUUCGAGAGGUCUGGGUUCGAAUCCCGGCGAGGGCA